GCCCCACAACACAGACAGACAUGUUGACAGCAAACACAAACAUAGCAAAACAAAUGGUUCACGCCUACCUCUUUAGAUUUCCAUUCAAAUGCACUCCACAACUCUGUGAAAGUGCUCUAUCUUCUAUAGAGGGAAGAACCUACCAGCUGCCAUCGUCUCUCCUCACUAUAAAGAGGACCUUUCACUUGGGAACAAUGAGAGGGCUUCUCUUUUCUCUUGGCCCAGAGUUCUCUGCCGCACCAUGUUUAAUUUCAAUAGCCAUAGAUCAAUGCAGAACAACACUCCAGAAGUGAUAGGGCUCAUCUGAAUCAGCCAACAAGACUUUUGUUAACGUCAGCAAACAUUCAUUCAAAUAGUGAAUCAGCAGUAACCUGCAAUUGUCAUUGCAACAUACAGCAUUUAACCAGCAGGCAUCUCAUUUCAAACACCUACACACUUUUCAGAAAGCUCCAUAAUCUGUGAAGGUGUGUAUUGAGGGGAAUAAAUCCUGUUUCAGGUGGAUACAUUUGCAGAUGAUGCAUUUCAUGCUGUCUUUUCUGUGGCUCAGUGGGAGGAAGGUGUGGGACUUUGCCUUGCUUUUCUUUUUCGCCCCUUUAAGUGGAGCACCGGAUAGAUGGCAUGACAUCACGGGCCAAGCCGGCAGCACAAUGCAAAGGUCAUGCGGCCCAUUGAUCUAGGGGGCCCCGGAUAGAAACUCCCUGUAUUAUGGGUCCGCGCACGCGGGGUCUUACACACACUGAGCCAUAGAAACAGACCACAAAUGGAGCCUUGUUGUCUCACCAUUCAAGGCCUGCAAUCAGCGGAUUUACACUUUGAUGUGGAGCUGAGGAAUAAAGCCCUUUCGAGCACUGACCUUUAUCGACUGAUGGAUUAAAAUCCAUAGCCCCCUCUCUCUCACUCUCCAAACUACAUAUCUAAGUUACAGUCCAGCUAGCUUGCCACUGAAGCCGAGCAUUUCUAAAGCCAGUCCUUUUAUUUCCCUUUAUUCUCUUCUCUGCUCUCACCCUGACUUUUGUGCCUGGCAGCUAACAUGGAACAAGUGUUUUUUUUUUGUUUUUUUUUUGUCAGGAAAUGACUUGUUGAAGAUUGGUUGCUAUUUGACAGGUUUUAUUCAAAAGCCAGAGAACAAAUAAAAGACGUCACAGCCUCUGCUUUACUGCCUCAAUUAUCGUCAGUGCAAAAACAGUGUUUUGAGAAUUAGAAAAAAACAAUAACUUAAAGCUAUUUUCAAAGAUGGAAAGGCAAAAAAAGCUGUAUUUGUGUCUCUUUUUGGCAGAAUGUGUUACAGAUGUACAGUGAUGGACCUUACAGCUUUCUGUACAGAACGGGUUUUAUCACGCUUAACUGUGGCCCAAACACAACCACACAGCUUCCAUUUUAUGCACCCAGACGACUGGUUCCCCCCAUUGUUUUUAAAACCAUCCCCGAUGCCCACUAGGACAUUUCUCUGUCUGCUGUUCUCCCAGAGGUGCCAGCUUGGACUAAAUUAACAAAAACAUCACUUCUCGGUCCACUAUCAGGCCAACUGGUUUUGAUAGCCCCAUUCUGCUUUGUCAGAAACAUGCCAAAGCCUGCUGUAAUCCGCUAAAGAACACUUAACAACCAAGUAAUGUCACGGUAGACCAGCGGUCUGUGUGCUGUGACGCAUUUUAAAAAUCUCACAGCCAUAUCCACUUAAUUCAGCUAGUGCUUUAGGAAGGCCCACCUGAGAAUUGUGAGACUGCCUGCAGAGAGUCAACCAUCAGCAUUAGAGAGCAUUACCACUGUGCAACAAAAAAACACUCAGGCUAUUUCCCUCUAGAAAAUGCUGGCCUUUCCCAGAGCUCUUCUAAGUGCAAUGAGAAUUUGAGUCUCUGUUUACUGCUGGUAUUACAGGCCCAUAACACCUAUUUGACCGCUGAUACACGAGUUAUAUUCAAGCAAUUACUGUUCUGUUACUGUGAGCCUUUGUUAAAAAGUCAUUAAUUCGUUAGCUGAACAAUCAUGGUUAAAGCACUCUAACUGUAAAUCUUUAAAAGGUAAGAGCCAUAUAGAUCAUGAAACCUUUGUUUUCGGCUCACGCCGUGAAAGGUCUCAGAGCAAAACAAUUACAUCACACCACAACAAAGCCCUGAGUGUACAACAGUGACAAGAGAAUUGUGCCUUCAGGCAGAAAACACUUUACACACUGGAGAUGGAGAAUGAGGGGAGGGGUGGGUUGAGCAUUUUCUGGUUGAUGAGCAUAAGGUACAUGGUCCAUUCAGACAAAUGGGGAGAAACAACAAGGUACACCAAGAGAAAGCUGCAACAAAAAAACAGUUCCAUGAAAUAUUAAUGGGAUGUAUUUACUGACAAGCUACUAUAACCAGCAGCUCUCUUCAGGGACUUCAGGGAGAGAGAGCUCGAGCUUGACUGACAACCACUAGGUGCAGAGCUACAUGCACACACAGACACAGAAACACACUCAUACAUGCACUUGUGAAAUUAUGACUGGACAGGAGCAAGGACAACCCCUCUCAUACCUCCAGAGGACACUGAGAGCAGUCUCGGUGUGUAUUCUGAGAAUGCCAGAGACAUGGCAAAAAUGUGAAUGUGUGGUUACACAAAUGAAAUCUUCACAAUGCAGUGUUUCUUUUGCACUAGUGUGAAAAAACACCCAUAAUUUAAACCAAGAUCCUUGGUUAAUUAGGUAGAAUGAGUUAUGUAAGCAUAAGACAAGAUUCCCACAAACGCUCAUGCAUGCACACACUUCCCCUGUGUCUUAACCCUCUCCUCACUAUCUCCUUCCCCCCCACCCCUUCCUGAAAUCUUGCUCUGUCCCAAAAAUUCCAAACUUUGCUUACCUAAUUUUUGCAGCAUAUUUCUUUGCCACAGGAGGUGGUUAUGACAAAUUAGAAGUCUACAAAUGUUCUGAUGGUGUAAAGGCUCCAGCUGUCACCAGGGAGAUGGUGAUCAGGUUUCCGAGCUGCAUGGUCUCUUGGCGCCACAAAGAGUUCCAUAUGGUCAUCCAAAUGCUGCACCUAAAUCUGCUCCCAAUCUCCACCCCGGAGCUGAGCACUUCUACUGAAUUAGUCACAAGGCUUCUGAGCAUAUGAGGAGAACCUACGGUGGCUGCAAAAAAACGCAAAAAGGCCCUCUCUAGAGCCAGUGUUUGGUUUGUCCGUUCUGAGCUACUGUAGAAGCAUGGCGGUUCAACAUGGCGGACUCCAUGGAAGAGGACCCGCUCCCUAAAGGUCUCAUUCUAAGCAUGAAGGGAGACUCAUCUCGCACUCAAAUAUCUCCGUGGGGAAUGGAAAGAUGGCAGAGAUGCAUGCCGAGGCCACUCCUUUUAUCCGGGCAAUGGAAAGAGAAACAUUGGCACAGUUGACAGGGAAAAUGUGACAUUUUCUGCAUUGUGAUAUCUCACAUCUUCAAAUUGAUGCCUUGUCUGAAAUAGGCAGAAGGAGGUGUAAUGAAUGUGCUUCUGUGACACAAAGACAUGCCACCAGGACAUUGUGGGAUCUCAGCUCUGGAGCGGGCUGACUGGUUUGCUUUUUAAAGCACAGAAGGCCAGCUGUUUAUGUUAUUCAAAUUUAGAGGGGUUGGAGAAAAUGUGCGUCCAUUCACUGUAGCAGUGGAUAAUAGUUUGGACAGAACAUCCAUUUCUUAAAACUGCUCUUUAUGUUAUUUUAGUCAAUCAGACUACAUUGAAAAGUAUUUUCCAUGACGCCGCUUGAAUUUCUCUUUAUAUACUGCUGAAAUUUGGACAAAAGAUUAAAAUGAUUGUCAUUUUCUCUAGUAUUCACAUUGUCAUCUCCACAUAUCAACCGAAUCGUUUGUCCUUUAUGUGAAAUCUUUCACUGGUGGGAGACCAUGUUACUGUAUGCGUGGCGUACAAACAGACUCAUGGGAGGUCAUGGGUGUGCUGAGCUGACAAUCAAGGGACUAGCUGUCACUCAUAGCCCAUCGCCAGCCGAGAAGUGUCAAAUCUUGUGACGACCACAUGACUACAAUGGGACAUUUCAGUUCUUUUUUUUUUUUUUUUGACAGGUAUGUAUCAGCUUGAUUGAUUGGCAUGACAGAAAAUCUUUCAUUAAGACCCAAAUAUCCUCUGUAAUCAUCUUCCUUGUGAGACAUGAAGGCGCAUACAUGCUUUUUUUUUUUUUUUAUUGGUUCAAGUGCCACUAAGGAAACCACACUUCUGUCACAUUGUAUAUGUUAUUCAGUUUGAUCAGGCAAAGAAGUUCUCUGAUCUUAUGUACAGCUUAUACAAAGUGAUAUUUCAUGCUCCUAACAAGUCUUUACUGAUACUUUUUGAACUAUAUUUUUUUGCAAAACGUAUCAUUUUCAAGGUCAUAAAAAGCCUGCUAUGGUUCUAAGGCUAUGAGGGACAGUAAUACAUGUUCACAUGGUGCCAGCUGAACUAUCCUGGGGCACAAAAAAUAAAUUUGAAUGCUGAAAUUCGGUGAUAUCCCCCUUUAAAAAGAAAGAAUUAUAUAGAUGACAGGCCUGGCUCUUCCUUUAAAUUGAAAGGAGACAAUGCUAGUUAAGAGUUAUAUUCCCAGCGGUAUGCUUCCUCUCACAGGCGUCAAGCACCGCUGUUUAAUGUACACUCAUGCCCCAUCUACCUUCUCUUCCAUUAUUCCACUCUCCAAACCUCCGUCUCAUGCACACUUUCCCCAGGCCCCAUGCUGUCCCUCUCUAUUUAUUGAAUACAUCUUUUACUCUGCAACAUUUUUCCACCUGAGCUGGCAGUUGCAACUUUUAUGGGGGGUGGUGCACACAGGGGCCGCAGAGAGAAGAAGACCCUCGUAUUUUCAUUGCACACAUCAUGCUCCAGCGAACGAGGGCCAUCUAGGCUGAAAUGAACAAACAGGGAAGAUGACUUAGACUUUACCUUUUUUUUUUGUGUUCUCUUGUUUAUAUUAUUUAAGAAGGAGUGAUAGCAGCACUUGGUGUGGCCCCCACUUUACUUCAUGAAAAAAUAACAACAAGUCAAUAGAAGGCCACCAGCUGAGAGGAGUCUGAAUAGGGAUUUA